GACGAACGCUGGCGGCGUGCCUAAUACAUGCAAGUCGAGCGAAUGGAAGGGAGCUUGCUCCCUGAAGUUAGCGGCGGACGGGUGAGUAACACGUGGGCAACCUGCCUGUAAGACUGGGAUAACUUCGGGAAACCAGAGCUAAUACCGGAUACGUUCUUUUCUCGCAUGAGGAAAGAUGGAAAGAUGGUUUCGGCUAUCACUUACAGAUGGGCCGGCGGCGCAUUAGCUAGUUGGUGGGGUAAUGGCCCACCAAGGCGACGAGGCGUAGCCGAACUGAGAGGGUGAUCGGCCAAAGUGGGACUGAGACACGGCCCAGACUCCUACGGGAGGCAGCAGUAGGGAAUCUUCCGCAAUGGACGAAAGUCUGACGGAGCAACGCCGCGUGAGCGAAGAAGGCCUUCGGGUCGUAAAGCUCUGUUGUCAGGGAAGAACAAGUGCCAGAGUAACUGCUGGCACCUUGACGGUACCUGACCAGAAAGCCACGGCUAACUACGUGCCAGCAGCCGCCGUAA
rnacentral:rRNA from 1 species